AACGAACGCUGGCGGCAUGCCUAACACAUGCAAGUCGAACGAGACCUUCGGGUCUAGUGGCGCACGGGUGCGUAACGCGUGGGAAUCUGCCCUUGGGUUCGGAAUAACAGUUAGAAAUGACUGCUAAUACUGGAUAAUGACGUAAGUCCAAAGAUUUAUCGCCCAAGGAUGAGCCCGCGUAGGAUUAGCUUGUUGGUGAGGUAAAGGCUCACCAAGGCGACGAUCCUUAGCUGGUCUGAGAGGAUGAUCAGCCACACUGGGACUGAGAAACGGCCCGGACUCCUACGGGAGGCAGCAGUGGGGAAUAUUGGACAAUGGGCGAAAGCCUGAUCCAGCAAUGCCGCGUGAGUGAUGAAGGCCUUAGGGUUGUAAAGCUCUUUUACCCGGGAUGAUAAUGACAGUACCGGGAGAAUAAGCCCCGGCUAACUCCGUGCCAGCCGCCGCCGUAAAAC
rnacentral:rRNA from 1 species